UAUCCUGUGACACUCUCACUUUCUAUCUUUGUUAUCUUUAUUCCCACUUCCGUUGUCCAAGCUCAACUUCAUUUAAGCUCAGUUAUUAUUUUGGCCUGACUGCAUUUAGUGAAGUACCCUUUAUUUCAAAGCGAUCCUUAGCCCUCAAACUAUCAACCCGCGGCUCUGCUAUGUUUUGUGAUUCCAUAGUUAGUUCAAAAGAGUCGACCCCCUACAGGUGAG
rnacentral:misc_RNA from 1 species